CCUACGGGAGGCAGCAGUGAGGAAUAUUGGUCAAUGGACGAGAGUCUGAACCAGCCAAGUAGCGUGAAGGAUGACUGCCCUAUGGGUUGUAAACUUCUUUUAUAUGGGAAUAAAACGUUCCACGUGUGGGAUUUUGUAUGUACCAUAUGAAUAAGGAUCGGCUAACUCCGUGCCAGCAGCCGCGGUAAUACGGAGGAUCCGAGCGUUAUCCGGAUUUAUUGGGUUUAAAGGGAGCGUAGGUGGAUUGUUAAGUCAGUUGUGAAAGUUUGCGGCUCAACCGUAAAAUUGCAGUUGAAACUGGCAGUCUUGAGUACAGUAGAGGUGGGCGGAAUUCGUGGUGUAGCGGUGAAAUGCUUAGAUAUAACGAAGAACUCCGAUUGCGAAGGCAGUUCACUGGACUGCAACUGACACUGAGGCUCGAAAGUGUGGGUAUCAAACAGGAUUAGAUACCCCUGUAGUC
rnacentral:rRNA from 1 species